rnacentral:rRNA from 1 species
CUCCUAAAUGUCCUAGGCUGCACGCGCACUACACUGACGCAUUAAACGAGUUUGAUUGCCUUUUGGCAACCUAUCUUGAAGAGGAUGGGAAAUCUUUUGAACUUGCGUCGUGAUGAGGAUCGAUGAUUGCAAUUAUUCUCCUUGAAUGAGGAAUGCCUAGUAGGCGCAAGUCAUCAGCUUGCACUGAUUACGUCCCUGCCAUUUGUACACACCGCCCGUCGUUGCUACCGAUUGGCUGUGGGAUAGAGCUUGGGGGAGGGUGGCCUUUGUGGUAAAACAUACUGGUCGCCGCGAAUCCAAGCGAUAUUUCUCAGCUAGAGGAAGCAAAAGUCGUAACA